AACAAAGAUGCGCAUCUCUUCCAAGCGUCAAAGAAAGCGACUCCUACGCGCUCCUAACGUCUCUUUCGGCUCGAACGGUUGUUUCUGCUGGCCGCCUGCAGCUAGUGUCCUUGGAGCAGCAUAAAGCAGUCCGUGUUUCGUCUUUGCGACCUCAAGAUGAAGACGCGUAGUCAAAGCAAGGACGAUUGGGUUGAUCCUAGACGUCCCUUCCCUUUCCUUUCGGUAUUGAGUUUGAAUUUGCAGGGAAAAGUUGUCCUCCCUCUUUCGGAAAAGAGAUUUGAAUUCUCAAAGUAGAAUCUCAAUUCUACCCCUUUUCCCCUUUUUCCCUUUUUAACCCUAAUUGUUCUGCCUCUAUAAAUAAUCUCUUUCAAUAGAGGGGGAGGGGGAGGGGGAUUUUUGGGGGAAGAGCUAAGAGAAUUUUUUUUUAAAAAAAAACAGAGACAUAAGUGAGUUUUUUUAGAGAGAAAGCACAGUGAAAGGUUUAGAAGCUGUCAAUCGGAAAAAUUAAGAAAAAAAAAUAUCAAUUGGACCUUUUGAAGUGGGAUUUUAGCAAUAAAACAGAAAAAUACUUAAACAAAAAAUAGCUAGAACACACACUAAAUACACUUUUUUUUAAAAAAAAUAGAGGAGAACUAGUUUUGAUUUUUGAGUUUGAUAUUCUGUUCGAAUUCCUUGGUCGCUGCUCGAGUAGGACUUUUGUGGUUGAGGUCGUCGUUGCUCCUCGUUUGUCCCAGAUAGACGCCUCGAAAAGGUUAUAUAAACCCCUUUCGAGUCCAUGGUGGACUUCUUCCCCUUGCAUUUCGAGAAAGAGUCGUGGAGGCUCAAGCUCCUCUUUCGAGUCAACCCGCCUUAUAAAGGGUGUACAGGUUCCGAAGUGAAAAAGCCAAAGUGGAAGAGUUGAAGAAGUUGGGGCCAAGAGACUCACUUUAUGUUAUUUUAUUUUUAAAAACAUUGUAUUUUGUUAUUUUUGGGCCUAAGCCCUUGUCAUUUUUGUACUAUUACUUUGUUAGUUUAGGACAGGUACCGUUGACAUGGGCCAAAUGCCCAAAAGUAAAUGGGUCCAAAUACCGGUCCAGACGAACAGGAAACCCAGAUUUGGACCCCAAACUCUCUCUCUCUCUCUCUCUCUCUACUCUUUCUUUUUUUAUUUUUUUGUUUAUUUAUACGUUAUUAUUUUUUGUUAGCUUUAGGGUCAAAAAUACCAAAUUCUCCUCGAAGCGCCCUAAUGUUUUAGCGAUUUAAAAAA